rnacentral:rRNA from 1 species
CCUAUBUAUUGUGUCUUGACCAAAUUACNRUAGCCAGCAGUCGCGGUAACACGUAAAAGACUAGUGUUAUUCAUCUUUAAUAGGUUUAAAGGGUACCUAGACGGUAAAUCAAGUCCGAGAAGGAUACUAAUUUCACUAGAGUUUAAUGUGAGGGGGCACUAAAGUACUGAUAAGUGUAGAGAUGAAAUUCUGUGAUACAAUAUAAGGCACUGGCAAAGGCGAAAGCAUCUCAUUAUGUAAUAACUGACGUUGAGGGACGAAGGCUUUGUGUAGCAAAAAGGAUUAGAUACCCAAGUAGUCUUAGCAGAAAAUUAUGAAUGUCAUAGGAUAGAAAAAUAGACAAANNNNACAAAUUUUUUUCUAUAAAUGAAAGUGUAAGCAUUCCMCCUCGAGAGUAAUUUGGCAACAUUGGAACUGAAAUCAUUAGACCGUUUYUGAAACAAGUAGUGAAGUAUGUUGUUUAAUUUGAUGGUCCGCAAAAAACCUUACCMCAAUUUGAAUAGAAAAAGAAAAAUAAAAAGAAAUUUUUUUUUUUCGACACAAGCNCAUGCACGRUUGU